rnacentral:sRNA from 23 species
ACCCGUCACGAGCGCCCCACGAGGCGCCCGUGGCAACGGACACAUCACUGUGCCAUGGGAAGAACGUGGCACUUCAGGGCGUU